CGUGAAGUGCAGAGCUGUGAAGCCGAACAAAUGGACCCUGAAGGGCAUACCCCACCACUCGUCCGAUGACAGCUGGAGAUACCCUGCAAGGACUAGGAAGUAUACACGAUGGAUGGAUGGGUCGUUUAUGACUGUCUGGCCAGGAAUAUGAAUAUGGGAGCUGCAGAGGUUUGGCGAGCCGCAGUCCACUGCAUCUUCCUUGGAUUCAUCUCAGUCUCCAUGGUAACCUAUGCUGGGAUGUCCUUGUCUCUUCCCAAUACUUUUGUUUUAAAUUUUGUUUCUUCCCUGCUAACCUCUAUUAUUCGCAAUUACACAAUGCUUUACAUCAGUGGAGAGCAAUGGAGUUCUAAGGCAAAACUCAGAAUGGUAAAUGUGUUUACAUGACAGGUUGAUACAGUGAUGGGUACCUACAAAGUGCUUCUCAG